GCUGUGAAAAUAUUACAAAAAUAAAUAUACUGAAAUAUCAUAAUAUCUGUAAUAUCCUCAUACACUCGCAAUACACUUCUUGUAGAUAGUGCUGACAUUUCAAGCACAUAAAAUAAACUCUAGCAUCCUGAGAGUAAUGCUAGUAACUUAGACUCUAAAAUGACACAAAUAACACAAGAGCAAUAAAAAUACUCGUUAUACAAAUGUGCAGAGCUAUCUCUAAAGGGCGAUCACAACUAAGAUUUACACAAAGGGUAGCGCGCGACAGACACACCCACACACACAUAUAUAUAUAUAAAAUCAUAAACAAUGACAAAAAUCUACGACUUACAUGGAUGAUGAGGAUCUACUUUGAGACUCAAUAAAGCAGAAUCCUUGAUAUCUACUGCUGAGGAGUGUUUCUCAGGCUCAGCUGGUGGUGGUGCAACUUCUGUGGUAGUAGUAAUAGUAGUGGUGGUGGUAUUGGGUUUGAGAAGAAAGCCUCCAAGGCCAAUUUCAUUGCAGGAUACUUGCAGGUUGUUUGCAUUAUAAAUGAGAAGAUCAUCCUCUUCAUUUUCAGACAAGAUGGAAGGAUCAUUCUUCAAAAUAUUGCAAAGCUCCCUUUGAAGUCUUUCAAUGGGUGUAAGACAGCGUUGAACAUUUACAGAUCUCUUUCUUGAACGUAUACCAGACUUCCACAAGCUUCCCUGGAUUAUUCCACCUGGACUUUCACCUCCAUUCUCUUCUUCUUUUUCAUUGUAGCAGCUCUGGAAACAUGAUAUUGCAGAUUCUGAGCUAGAUUUAUUGGUUGUAAAAUCAUCAGAAGCAGGAGAAUGGCAAACGUCAAUGGAGAAGUUUUCUUCAGUACUUAUCAAUUUGCAUUUCUUUGGAGCCGACUUGGAUUUAAUUCUUACCCUUUUAGCAGUUGGUUGUCCUUGGGCAUGCUUAGGUGUAUAGUUUGCAAGACUUCCUCUAAUCCUGUACCUUGAUCCACAGGCAUUGCAUAACACUGGCUUCUCAGGUGGCCCAUUUCUCCAUAGUGGAGUGCUAUUAGUGCCACAAUGAUAACAAGGCCCUUGUUUUCCCAUAUUGACACAAUGCUCAUAAAAUUAAUCCAACUUCAAAUUUGCUCCAAGAUCUCAACCCAAUGAAACAAUAGACAAAUCCAAAUGAAUCUGAUAUAAGAACGGCCAUUUUGGGCGGCCACAAUGCCUUCGCUUGUUGAGCCUGGACUUUAGAUGACACUUUCAACAAGAGAGUCCACAAGUGCAAGUGCAAGACUUGUUGAAGAGUCCUCAAAAUGAGAAUUGCAUUGCCACUUUCACUAAUGGAUUGGAAACAAGAAAGAUGAGAUGAAGGUGGCGGAGUGUUAUCAUAAGUUCAUGCCUAAUUGGCUUGUUGUUCAUUAGCAAAUUGCUUGCCUCAAAGAUAAGAUGGAUUGGAAACAAAAGAUGAGAUUAAGGGAGUGGCGCAUUUUCAUAAGCUCAUGCCUAAAGGGCUAGUAGCUUAAUCGGAAAAAUGCUAACCUGAGAGAUAAGAAUACAUAUAGUAUAAACAAGAAAAAUCAUAUAUAUCCAGAUGCAAACAUGUUAUUACAUCCAGCAACUUCUACUCCCACCGCAGAAGUCAGACGCCCAAGAAAGGCAGCAAAAACUCAAAUAUUGAACUGCCUGCCAGUAGCUGACAACUCGGGAACUCACUGUGUAAGAUCACCAAUUGUGUAUAAUGAAGAUUAGAGCAUUAAGAAUAAAAGAAAAAGAGACCUUGAUACCAUGUUUGCAGUACCACUUGAAAGUAGCACUUGUACUUGUCCACAGUUCACAAAGUAUCUAAACUAAUCCUACCUUGGAUAUGCUGGAUGACAGAAUGAACUUUGACUAGGUGGCAGGUGCCCGCCUUGGCUUAUACUCGAUAUCUGUUAGGCUUCUUAGUAUUGAUGUUGCAUACAUUAAUUAAAGGCAACUUGCACCUUUAGUUGCAUCUCUCAACUAGGGCCAAGACACAAGUUUGAGUCCCGCAUUUCCCUUUUCUAACCAA
rnacentral:misc_RNA from 1 species